rnacentral:lncRNA from 1 species
UUUCCCAUUAUUUAUUAUUUAUGCUUGUUUUUCUUUUUCCUUUUGACUUUAUGGUUGCUUUUCCUUUCCUAACAUCUCUCGACCCGUGACUUAUUACUAUCUAUUCAUAUAUAUGUGUGUGUUACUAUUACUAUGUUUUUAUUUUAUUUUUACUUUACUUUACUUUUUUAUUUUUUCAUUUAUCAAGCUUAAUCAAAAUCAAAAGGCAUCAUGUUAUGGAAGCCUAUGUACACCCCCUUUGCAAAAUAAGGAAAAAGUUGUAGCCCAAGAAGCAAGAAACGAG